rnacentral:rRNA from 1 species
GAUGAACGCUAGCGAUAGGCCUAACACAUGCAAGUCGAGGGGCAUCACAUGAAGUAGCAAUACGGAUGGUGGCGACCGGCGCACGGGUGAGUAACACGUAUGCAACCUGCCUUCAACAAGGGGAUAACCCGUUGAAAGACGGACUAAUACCCUAUAACACAGGGGUCCCGCAUGGGAAUAUUUGUUAAAGGACAACCGGUUGAAGAUGGGCAUGCGUUCCAUUAGCUAGUUGGCGGGGUAACGGCCCACCAAGGCAACGAUGGAUAGGGGAACUGAGAGGUUUAUCCCCCACACUGGUACUGAGACACGGACCAGACUCCUACGGGAGGCAGCAGUGAGGAAUAUUGGUCAAUGGACGCAAGUCUGAACCAGCCACGUCGCGUGAAGGAAGACGGCCCUACGGGUUGUAAACUUCUUUUAUACGGGAAUAAGUGUAGUACGCGUACUAUUUUGCAUGUACCUUACGAAUAAGGAUCGGCUAACUACGUG